rnacentral:rRNA from 1 species
UGAAUUGACGGGGCCCGCACAAGCGGAGGAACAUGUGGUUUAAUUCGAUGAUACGCGAGGAACCUUACCUGGGCUUAAAUGGGGAGUGACAGCUGUCGAAAGAUGGUUUUCUUCGGACACUCUUCAAGGUGCUGCAUGGUUGUCGUCAGCUCGUGCCGUGAGGUGUCGGGUUAAGUCCCAUAACGAGCGCAACCCUUACCGUUAGUUACCAUCAGGUUAAGCUGGGGACUCUAGCGGGACUGCCACCGUAAGGUGAGAGGAAGUGGGGAUGACGUCAAAUCAGCACGGCCCUUAUGUCCAGGGCUACACACGUGUUACAAUGGCCGGUACAAAGGGCAGCUACUUCGCGAGAAGAUGCUAAUCUCGAAAGCCGGUCUCAGUUCGGAUCGAAGUCUGCAACCCGACUUCGUGAAGCUGGAUUCGCUAGUAAUCGCGCAUCAGCCAUGGCGCGGUGAAUACGUUCCCGGGCCUU